rnacentral:lncRNA from 1 species
ACAAACCAUCUUCCAAGAUCACUUUUCAAAGACCUUUCUCUUAUUUGGGAUGUGUCAAAGUUCCCUAAGAACCUCAAAGGGGCUCCCGCCAGUGCUUACAUCCCGAAUACAUUGCAGAAUGAGAUUAUAGUGUGGUGUGGAAGGGCCAGCCCUCAAAUGUUCAAGUUCAAAAGGAACUCGAGGUCCCAAAGCAAAACUCAUAGGAGAGGGCAGAACUUAGGGUCUAAGAGUAAGUGUAUGUGCAUAGAGGGGAAUAAGGGAAGGGCAGGGUAGGCUAGUGGUCAUGCCUAGCAAUCAGGAAUGCUGGCACACCCCUGACCAGCCUUUUAGCCGAAUCUUAGGAGUUAGGAUCCAUUGAAGAUUAAGUUCAGAACUGAGCAGUAAUUUGGAUACUACUAUGCCAAAACCUUAAAUCAGACACAUAGAGGGGAAUGGGGGGGUAGGGAUUCACAAUAGAAAUAGAUGCAAGAAAAGAAUAUACAUAGUUUAAUCACUGAACAUGAACAACAAAGUAAACAAGAAUGCUAAAACUAUAAAGUAAACACAUAUGGGUGAGGCAGAAAAAUUAAAUCAGACAUACUAGUUUCAGGGAAAACAAGUAAAAUAGUAGUCUUGAAAAGCCAAUUUGUAAGCAAACAAUUCCAAAAUAUCUCAGAAAAGCAGAGUGUUGAGAGAGUAUUGAACUCAAAGCAGUAUUAUAGGUGUGUAAGUUGAAAGUAAAAAGUUUGAGGUAUUCCACUCAAAGUCCUAAAACUGAAGAAGGGUAGUUCCUUUUAUAGUGCAGAGAAGCAAGUAAGAAAGGUAAGAAAGUAGUUUGCAAUCAAUCACAUAGAAUUUUCCUGUAGUUAAGGGAUUUGAUUUCAAACGGGUAGAAGAUAUCUAAGGAAGGAACAUGAUUAAUACUUUCCCUAAAGUAAUACAAGAUAGGAUAAAUACACAGGAGUUAUUUAAGGCAAAAAUUCAAUGGUACACGAUUUGUGAAAAAUAAGGAAAGGAAAUCAAUCAAGCAACCAAGGAAAUCAAACUUACAGGCUUUUACUCGAAUGAACCAAGUUAGGGGUAAAGAAAGGUUUAUUUUAAAGGUAAUCAAUAACAAUCAAUUAGCCCCAUCAAAGGACUUUAGAAUCAAUCAAUUAGCCCCAUUAGAGGACUUCAGAAUCAAUCAAUUAGUUGGUAAAACAUUUGUUAAAGAAGAGUUCUUAUUUAUAUAAAGCACACAAAUAUGUGAAUCAAGAAAGGACUGUCAAGUUAUUUAGAAG